rnacentral:rRNA from 1 species
UACGUAGGGUGCGAGCGUUGUCCGGAAUUAUUGGGCGUAAAGGGCUCGUAGGCGGUUUGUCGCGUCGGGAGUGAAAAUCCUACGGCUUAACUGUGGGCUUGCUUUCGAUACGGGCAGACUAGAGGUAUGCAGGGGGAGAACGGAAUUCCUGGUGUAGCGGUGAAAUGCGCAGAUAUCAGGAGGAACACCGAUGGCGAAGGCAGGUCUCUGGGCAUUAACUGACGCUGAGGAGCGAAAGCAUGGGGAGCAAACAGG